CAGUAGCCGCGGUAAUACGAAGGGUGCAAGCGUUACUCGGAAUUACUGGGCGUAAAGCGUGCGUAGGUGGUGGUUUAAGUCUGUUGUGAAAUCCCCGGGCUCAACCUGGGAAUGGCAAUGGAUACUGGCAAGCUAGAGUGUGUCAGAGGAUGGUGGAAUUCCCGGUGUAGCGGUGAAAUGCGUAGAGAUCGGGAGGAACAUCAGUGGCGAAGGCGGCCAUCUGGGACAACACUGACGCUGAGGCACGAAAGCGUGGGGAGCAAACAGGAUUAGAUACCCCAGUAGUCCCUGUCUCUUAUAC
rnacentral:rRNA from 1 species